ACGCUGGCGGCGUGCCUAAUACAUGCAAGUAGAACGCUGAAGGAGGAGCUUACUCUUCUGGAUGAGUUGCGAACGGGUGAGUAACGCGUAGGUAACCUGCCUGGUAGCGGGGGAUAACUAUUGGAAACGAUAGCUAAUACCGCAUAACAGUAGAUGUUGCAUGACAUUUGCUUAAAAGGUGCAAUUGCAUCACUACCAGAUGGACCUGCGUUGUAUUAGCUAGUUGGUGGGGUAACGGCUCACCAAGGCGACGAUACAUAGCCGACCUGAGAGGGUGAUCGGCCACACUGGGACUGAGACACGGCCCAGACUCCUACGGGAGGCAGCAGUAGGGAAUCUUCGGCAAUGGACGGAAGUCUGACCGAGCAACGCCGCGUGAGUGAAGAAGGUUUUCGGAUCGUAAAGCUCUGUUGUAAGAGAAGAACGAGUGUGAGAGUGGAAAGUUCACGCUGUGACGGUAUCUUACCAGAAAGGGACGGCUAACUACGUGCCAGCAGCCACGGUAAUACGUAGGUCCCGAGCGUUGUCCGGAUUUAUUGGGCGUAAAGCGAGCGCAGGCGGUUAGAUAAGUCUGAAGUUAAAGGCUGUGGCUUGACCAUAGUACGCUUUGGGAACUGUUUAACUUGAGUGCAAGAGGGGAGAGUGGAAUUCCAUGUGUAGCGGUGAAAUGCGUAGAUAUAUGGAGGAACACCGGUGGCGAAAGCGGCUCUCUGGCUUGUAACUGACGCUGAGGCUCGAAAGCGUGGGGAGCAAACAGGAUUAGAUACCCUGGUAGUCCACGCCGUAAACGAUGAGUGCUAGGUGUUAGACCCUUUCCGGGGUUUAGUGCCGCAGCUAACGCAUUAAGCACUCCGCCUGGGGAGUACGACCGCAAGGUUGAAACUCAAAGGAAUUGACGGGGGCCCGCACAAGCGGUGGAGC
rnacentral:rRNA from 1 species